AGCAGCCGCGGUAAUUCCAGCUCCAAUAGCGUAUAUUAAAGUUGUUGCAGUUAAAAGCUCGUAGUUGAAUUUCGGGAUUAAUAUGUUGGUCGUGCCUUGGUACGUACUGGCAUUAUUGAUUCCUACCUUCUGAAGAACCUCGAUGUCAUUAAUUUGGUGUCUUGGGGAAUCAGGACCGUUACUUUGAAAAAUUAGAGUGUUUAAAGCAGGCUCGCGCUUGAAUACAUUAGCAUGGAAUAAUGAAAUAGGACGUUUGAUUCUAUUUUGUUGGUUUCUAGGAUCGACGUAAUGAUUAAUAGGGAUAGUUGGGGGCAUUAGUAUUCAAUUGUCAGAGGUGAAAUUCUUGGAUUUAUUGAAGACUGACUACUGCGAAAGCAUUUGCCAAGGAUGUUUUCAUUAAUCAAGAACGAAAGUUUAGGGGAUCGAAGACGAUCAGAUACCGUCGUAGUCUUAACCAUAAACUAUGCCGACUAGGGAUCGGAUGAUGUUAAUUUUUUAAUGACUCAUUCGGCGCCUUACG
rnacentral:misc_RNA from 1 species